rnacentral:rRNA from 1 species
GACGAACGCUGGCGGCGUGCUUAACACAUGCAAGUCGAACGGAAAGGCCCUGCCUACGCUGGGUGCUCGAGUGGCGAACGUGUGAGUAACACGUGAGUAUCCCGCCCUUGGGUUGGGGAUAACUUCAGGAAACUGGGGAUAAUACCGGAUAGGUGCUCCUGCUGCCUGGUGGGGGUCGGAAAGUUUCGGCGGUUGGGGAUGGACUCGCGGCUUAUCAGCUUGUUGGUGGGGUAGUGGCUUACAAAGGCUUUGCCGGGUAGCCGGCCUGAGAGGGUGACCGGCGACAUUGGGACUGAGGUACGGCCCAGACGCGUAUGGUGGGCAGCGGUGGGGAAUAUUGCACAGUGGGGGGAAGCCUGAUGAAGCAACGCCGCGUGUGGGAUGACGUCCUUCGGGUAGUAAACCGCUUUCGCCUGUGACGAAGCGCGAAUGACGGUAAUGUGAGAAGAAGCACCGGCUAACUACGUG